rnacentral:rRNA from 1 species
GACGGAGGAUGCAAGCGUUAUCCGGAAUUAUUGGGCGUAAAGCGUCCGCAGGUGGCUGUUCAAGUCUGCUGUCAAAGCGCAGAGCUUAACUCUGUACAGGCGGUGGAAACUGAAGAGCUAGAGUAUGGUAGGGGUAGAGGGAAUUCCCGGUGUAGCGGUGAAAUGCGUAGAGAUCAUGAGGAAGACCAGUGGCGAAGGCGGGUCUCUGGACAGUUCCUGACACUGAGGCACGAAGGCCAGGGGAGCAAACGGG